CCUCCAACCCCCAUGACCACUUCAGGUCAGCAAUCUGGAGCAGGCUAUGGAUGCUCAUCAUUGGGGCCUGCUUUUCAGCAUCCUGAAAACUUCUACAGAUUAAUACUGCAGCAUCUGAGGGAGUUGGCCGAAGAAUUGAGGGAUGUGAAACAGCAGGUUUCUUUAAACACAGCAAUAUUACAGAGCCUGACAGCUGGAACCAACGUGGACAUGUCCAUCCCACCAGACGUCAUCCUUCCUCUGGAGGAUAGAAGUAUGCUGGAGGACAUUGAGAGAGAGCUUGGACAAAAUCUGGAAUUAACAGAGAAAUUGAUUGCAUACUUAGCCUCAAGAGGACAGAAGGGUCGGGACAGAAGGUGUCCUUCAACAACCUCCACCUGAAGAGAGUCAGCCACAGAGCGGUAAGGAAAAAUCCUGCAACAAGGGAGACAACCGAAGAGGCUCUCCA